CUGUGCCGCAGGAGAAUGAAGCAGAUUCUUGUUGUGACAAAAACUACCCACCCUUCACUGAACGUUCUGCACUGAAUACCUUUCCCGUUGGUCACUGGGCCAACCGGUGGCUUGCCUCCACAUGCCUUUGUAAACAAGGGAGCCGGAAAAUAUAUUAAAAAGAAAAAUCAGAACUCUCCGAUGUCAUUGAGAUUUCCAGCAUCUGCAGCUCCUCGAUUUUCACUGGACGAGUGCAGUAAACUAGGUUGAAAUUCAGGAAAUGGGGAAGAACAAGGCAAUGAAGUGGUUUGAAAACAAGGAUGGAAAUAUGAAAACCAAGGCAUUGUUUAACCAGGAGCCGAUGUGCAUCUCCAAGGAUCAAGGAUGACAUCUUAAUUCCAGCUCUGUGGGUUCUGGAGCCAAUGUGGAAAUCACAGCCUCUUCCGCAGAUGGGGCAAGCAUGGUGAGGGACCCAUCUAUCUCCUGCUCUCAUCUCGCUGCUACCAUGGGUAGGAAGGUAUUGGAGUCUGAAAACCGUAACCACCAAGUUCAUGAAUGCUACAUCUCAACAACCAUCGGAGUUUUGAACACGACACAACACCAACUGAACUGUGAACAAUGGACUGACUGCUUUUAGUUCAACUAUGCACUUUGGGCCUUUUUGCACUAGUAUUGGGAUCAUUAAUUUAUUGAUUCGUUUUUGUUUAUUGUAUUAUCUGUGAGCAUUGUAUUACAGGCCGGUUAUGCUGCUGCAAGUAAUCAUUUCAUAGUUCUGUUGUCGGUACAUAUAACAAUUAUACACACUUGGCUCCUGCUCUCGCCACCUCUCCUCUCAUAAAGGGCAAGGGUCAGGUUGGCCAUCCUCACCUUACAACCCACUCCCCACCCACAAUGUCCACCCGCUUCUAAAUAACGUCACGGCCAGGCACACCGUCUCUCUCCCCCUACCACACAACUCCAACUUGUGUCGUUUCUGCAGUCUCCUCAUUCCACAACCUGCAACAGUACAGCACAGGAACAGGCCCUUCGGCCCACAAUGUCCGUGCUGAACACGAUAUCAAGUUAAGCGAAUCUCCUCUGCCUGCAUAUGAUGCAUAUCCCACCAUUGUCUGCAUAUCCAUCAAAGGUCAUCAACCCUGAAGCACUAACUGUUUCUCGCUCCACAGACUCUGCCCUGUGUGCUGCACAUUUGCCAUUUGUAUUUCACCCUAACCAGAAGAGGUAGAAGCUUAUGCUGACCGAUUCAGAGGAGACGAGCAGACGGCUCAAGUGGAGCAUAAAGGUCAGCAAAGACUUGCUGGUUGUGCUCGUGCCAUUUCCCUACUUAAUGUGGCAAUCUCGUCUCAGAAACUGUCGAGUGCAAGUGCUUACUCCGCUGCUUUUAUCUGUCUUGCCCUACGAUUUAGGAGAAUUAACGGCACACUGCAGGCAGCCUCAUUGAACGCAUUUCUGCUGUCAGAUGCAGAUCAGCGUUUAAACAUGGCGCUACAAAUGAAGCAUCCGUUUAAUGAAGACUUUGAGGAAACAACACAAUUGCUGCUGCAAGUGAUGCGGCAGUGGUGCAUGCCCGAGGCGAGCAGAACCAGCUGCAUUCACCACCGAGGGCAAGGUUCCAUCAAACAAUUUCCUGACUCACAGACAUAUACAAGGGCAAGCUCGUCUCAGCUUGGUGCCCAGCCUGAAGGAGCCAAGGGCAUUAUCCGGGAUCAGCUCCCUGGGAAUUGUCAGUCGGUUCAGAGGACUCAGUCUCAGGCUUCGGGACUCGAUACCAAAUGAGAUCAGUCUCAUGCUCAGCAAUGCUGUCAGUCACACUGAAUUGAAAGGAACCAGUGUGGGUGCCUCAGCAACCCAGGCAUACAGCAGUCCAAUGCCCUGCAUUGCUGGCAGGCCGACUCUGUUGACAUUUCUUGCCUCUUAGAUGAAAAUAAAUUAUUUCCUUUCUUAAACCAUAGUGCUAACAGCAUGUUGAAUGAACGACAGGAAACCCACAUAUGGACAAAGUAUGAGAUGGAGAAUGCUGGACUGAAGCGAGGAAGCAGAGACCAGUGUAGGUGAGGAAAGAAACUGGGUGUAACCAAGGAAGACGCUAACUAGGACAGAGACAAGAGUCUCCACAGCUAUACACGAGAGUGCCAGCUGAAUGGUGGCAUCAAGGUCUGGUUUGUUAACUCGAACACAGAAAUAAAGGAUCUUAUAGAGAGUGGUGGACCCUGCCCACUCUGUCACAGGUACUGACCUCACCAUCAUCGAAAAUAUC